rnacentral:rRNA from 1 species
GACGAACGCUGGCGGCGUGCUUAGCACAUGCAAGUCGAACGGAAAGGCCCUGCUUUUGUGGGGUGCUCGAGUGGCGAACGGGUGAGUAACACGUGAGUAACCUGCCCUUGACUUUGGGAUAACUUCAGGAAACUGGGGCUAAUACCGGAUAGGAGCUCCUGCUGCAUGGUGGGGGUUGGAAAGUUUCGGCGGUUGGGGAUGGACUCGCGGCUUAUCAGCUUGUUGGUGGGGUAGUGGCUUACCAAGGCUUUGACGGGUAGCCGGCCUGAGAGGGUGACCGGCCACAUUGGGACUGAGAUACGGCCCAGACUCCUACGGGAGGCAGCAGUAGGGAAUAUUGCACAAUGGGAGGAAGCCUGAUGCGGCAACGCCGCGUGCGGGAUGACGGCCUUCGGGUUGUAAACCGCUUUCGCCUGUGACGAAGCGUGAGUGACGGUAAUGGGUAAAGAAGCACCGGCUAACUACGUG